rnacentral:misc_RNA from 1 species
UUUGAUCUUAAAAUACCAUCAUCAUUUAAGUGCAACCAUUAAGAAGAUAUUAAAACCAGAAUUUAUUUCCUUUUGAAUAAGAUGCUCAAAUACCAAGUGGUAUUCCACCCAAAUUCCCACAUAGAUUUUACAUAUACAUAUAUAUAUAGCUCAGAAUCACAAAAACAAGUAAGCAUAUAUUAUCACUUAAAAGCCUCAACCAACCAGCAAUUUACCCAUCAAUAAUCCACGCGAUAAUCACUAUAAUCAUCACGCCCAGCGAGGUCAUUCUCUACCCUGUCUGCGAUCUUCUCCUCUUCAUAUUUCAAUCCUUCUUCCAAUGCUAGUCCACCCAGAGUCCCAGCAACCGCGCCCACAGCCAAUCCUGUACCAAACCCCAUCUUCCCUCCUUUCUGUCUCUGAUCAUACGCUGAAUAAUCAACCGGCGCAGAAGGCCCACCGUAACUGCCAGUCCGAUCAAAGAUGGGUCUUGGCGGGGGUGGGGCCGAGGAGUAAUAUCCCGAAUAAUAAGAAGGAGGAUAACCAUCGUGAUAAGAUGAGUAUGGAGCAAGCGGGGGUGCGGGUGAGGACGAGAGAGGCGAUUGUAUUGUCGGCGCGAACCUGUAAUCACGCGGCGCAGGAGGUGAAGGCAUAGGGGCAGUGUUGUAAUAAUAGUUUUGUGAAGGGAUAAUAUGGUGGUAAUCAAAACCUGCCGGAGGCGGAGGAGGGGGUGGCAAAGGCCGUUCGCGUAAACCGAGCUUUACCCUGAUCUUCCCUUGAGGCCGACCAGAUGGGCGGGUCAGCUCAAAAGUUCGAAUCCGGGCCAAGUCAUCCGGGUAGGGCAGUUCCUUUAACGGUACCCGGAGAGUGCCGACAAGGGGUUUGGGGGUUUCGCUGGGCUUGGAGUGGAAGAUAUCGAGGGUAAGAUAGGAUUCCUGUAGAGGAAGAGGGAGAGGAAGCGUGAAGCGCUCGUUCCAAACGGGUUUGGUAGAACCGGAGUCAUCGGACUUGGUGGAGAGCCUCCGAUCGGGAUCCACCCAGAAGACGGCGUAGGCCUUGAGGUCGCCGUUUUUCCAGUUGACGUUCUUGAGGUGCUUGGCGGAAACUAUGGUUAGAUCGAGAUCGAGAAGCUUCGCCGAUGGCGGGCGAGAGGAGGCCAUGAUGCCAACGGGCACAGUGUUAGCCGGGAUAAGCAAAGGGAGAGGGGGGGAUGUGGCUAUGGGAGUAACAGAGUGGUUCUGUGGUUUGGGG